rnacentral:rRNA from 1 species
AUUGUCCUACGGAGCGCAGCAGUGAGGAAUAUUGGUCAAUGGUCGGGAGACUGAACCAGCCAAGCCGCGUGAGGGAGGAAGGUACAGAGUAUCGUAAACCUCUUUUGUCAGGGAACAAAGACUGGGACGCGUCCCCGAAUGAGUGUACCUGAAGAAAAAGCAUCGGCUAACUCCGUGCCAGCAGCCGCGGUAAUACGGAGGAUGCGAGCGUUAUCCGGAUUUAUUGGGUUUAAAGGGUGCGUAGGCGGAUUUUUAAGUCAGCGGUAAAAUGUCCGGGCUCAACCCGGGCCGGCCGUUGAAACUGG